rnacentral:rRNA from 1 species
UGAGGAAUUUUGCGCAAUGGGGGAAACCCUGACGCAGCGACGCCGCGUGAACGAAGAAGGCCUUCGGGUUGUAAAGUUCUGUCAGUGGGGACGAUAAUGACGGUACCUGCUGAGGAAGCUCCGGCUGACUCCGUGCCAGCAGCCGCGGUAAGACGGAGGGAGCAAGCGUUGUCCGGAAUUACUGGGCGUAAAGAGCUCGUAGGCGGGAGCCUAAGUCCGAGAGUAAAUGCAUCGGCUCAACCGGUGAAUCAUCUUGGAUACUGGGUUUCUUGAGGACAGGAGGGGAAAGGGGAAUUCCUGGUGUAGCGGUGAAAUGCGUAGAUACCAGGAGGAACACCUGUGGCGAAGGCGCCUUUCUGGACUGAUCCUGACGCUGAGGAGCGAAAGCCAGGGGAGCGAACGGG